rnacentral:rRNA from 1 species
UACGGGAGGCAGCAGCUAAGAAUAUUCCGCAAUGGGGGGAACCCUGACGGAGCGACGCCGCGUGGAUGAGGAAGGCCGGAAGGUUGUAAAAUCCUUUUAGGCGGGAAGAAUAAGCAUGGCAGGGAAUGGCCGUGCGGUGACGGUACCGCCAGAAUAAGCAACGGCUAAUUACGUGCCAGCAGCCGCGGUAAU